AGAGUAGACCUGCUGGUCCAUCCCUCAGCAUCCUAGCCCUCAGCACUACUGGACAGCUCUGUGCAUCCAGCAUCCAGCCUGGCCACCUAGCAGGGAAAGUGGGCCAGCAGCUCAGCACCCAAUCCCUUGGGUUUUGCUACAAGGGGACCUGUUCAGUCUCUCAGGGCCUUUGCUCACCAGGGCUCAUGGCUCCUACUUACAACUCCUGAACCCAAAGAGCUUUGACAACUGCACUGGCUUUAUAAGAUUUAAAAAAAGAGAGAAAGCUGAGAGCUGAGCACUGAAUCGCAUCUGGUCCUGAGGAUCCCCCUAAGGAAAUGUGGGUGUGCGGUUCCAAGGCUGGACAUGGUCCUCUACUUCCCUGCCAGACCCGGUCCACACCUCCUGGAAGCCUUGACUUAGUAGCCCAGUUCUGCUAUGAGCCCUCCUGCAUUCAGAAGCCUUUCUUGACACUUGGUGACUUCAUUUGAACUUGCUGAUGAACUUCUUGGGCAUUUGUGAAUACCCCUGUGACUGCCGGCAUGAGAAGACUAGAAAAUAGUCUGGAAAUGACAAGAAAAUGCAAGAAAGUGGCAGAUUACAAAGUUAAUACAUGAAGAUUGUUAAGAUAGACAUGGAAGACAUUCUAUGUACAAGGAUGCCCGCUGCAGACUCACUGCAGUAAAAAGUUCAAAACAAGCAGUGUGUCUCAACAAAGGACUGGUUAAAUAAACGAUCAUAUGUCCAUACAAUGGACUACUCUCCAGAUGAGACAAAGGGAAACUGUGUGCUGAUCUUGAACUAUCUCUAAGACACAUUCAGCAAAGUACAGAAUCUCUGUUUUAUUAUCCUUCCGUGUAUAUGUGGAUUAUUUAUGUGUAAAUGCAUAUUUAUGUAUAAAGGCUUUCAGUUUCAUUUUUUUUAUCAUUCUGCACAGUUUGAAUUUUGUAAGCCUGUACAUAUUUUCCAUUAAAAAAAUGCCUAAAGGGAUUAUCU
rnacentral:lncRNA from 1 species